rnacentral:misc_RNA from 1 species
GCUGAAGAUGCUGAAAUGGAGGCUAAAGUUUGAAAACUUAUAGUUAAGAUGGAAGGAAGAUGCUUUACGAGAAACUAGAAACAUUUCAUCCAAACUAGUGUCUUAUAAACUAUGGGCAAUCCAAUACAUUGUCAGAGAACAGGAGCUUGUAUUCCAUUAUUACUGAUCUGGGAUGAAAUGUUACCCAUUGAAAAUGUACCAAAACUUCACCUUUCAAGAUUUUACUGGAGAGGUCACAUAAAAGAAUAGAUCAGGGACUAUGGCUUUAAAUCAAUCACAAUAUAGCCCAGGAUAGAACUGUCUUAUGGUUCACACUUUACAAUUACUUUGAAGCAUUUUAUAUCUUCAGCUAAACAAUUUUCAUACAUCCCUACCUGCAUAUUUAUGCGAAAAGAGAUUCUACACAGAUACAGCCUGAUUUU